GAUGAACGCUGGCGGCGUGCCUAAUACAUGCAAGUCGAGCGAACAGAUAAGGAGCUUGCUCCUUUGACGUUAGCGGCGGACGGGUGAGUAACACGUGGGUAACCUACCUAUAAGACUGGGAUAACUUCGGGAAACCGGAGCUAAUACCGGAUAAUAUUUCGAACCGCAUGGUUCGAUAGUGAAAGAUGGUUUUGCUAUCACUUAUAGAUGGACCCGCGCCGUAUUAGCUAGUUGGUAAGGUAACGGCUUACCAAGGCGACGAUACGUAGCCGACCUGAGAGGGUGAUCGGCCACACUGGAACUGAGACACGCUCCAGACUCCUACGGGAGGCAGCAGUAGGGAAUCUUCCGCAAUGGGCGAAAGCCUGACGGAGCAACGCCGCGUGAGUGAUGAAGGUCUUCGGAUCGUAAAACUCUGUUAUUAGGGAAGAACAUACGUGUAAGUAACUGUGCACGUCUUGACGGUACCUAAUCAGAAAGCCACGGCUAACUACGUG
rnacentral:rRNA from 1 species